rnacentral:rRNA from 1 species
UGGGGAAUUUUGGACAAUGGGCGAAAGCCUGAUCCAGCAAUGCCGCGUGUGUGAAGAAGGCCUUCGGGUUGUAAAGCACUUUUGUCCGGAAAGAAAUCCUUGGCUCUAAUACAGUCGGGGGAUGACGGUACCGGAAGAAUAAGCACCGGCUAACUACGUGCCAGCAGCCGCGGUAAUACGUAGGGUGCAAGCGUUAAUCGGAAUUACUGGGCGUAAAGCGUGCGCAGGCGGUUUGCUAAGACCGAUGUGAAAUCCCCGGGCUCAACCUGGGAACUGCAUUGGUGACUGGCAGGCUAGAGUAUGGCAGAGGGGGGUAGAAUUCCACGUGUAGCAGUGAAAUGCGUAGAGAUGUGGAGGAAUACCGAUGGCGAAGGCAGCCCCCUGGGCCAAUACUGACGCUCAUGCACGAAAGCGUGGGGAGCAAACAGGACUAGAUACCCUGGUAGUCCACGCCCUAAACGAUGUCAACUAGUUGUUGGGGAUUCAUUUCCUUAGUAACGUAGCUAACGCGUGAAGUUGACCGCCUGGGGAGUACGGUCGCAAGAUUAAAACUUAAAUGAAUUGACGGGGUCAUAGCUGUUUCCU